CAUCAGUAUGAUGUUUUUUGCUCUGUCUGUCUGUUUUGGGGGGCAGAUGUGGGUGAAUUGAUGGUUCCUUUAUGGAACAAAGACUUCUUGAAGAAAAUGAAUCUUAAGCUCAUCUAACUAAAGCUUUUAGUUAUUUCUCAAGUUAAUUUUUUUGGUACACUUGUCCUAUGUGCCAGGUAAUGUCUUCUCUUCUCCAAUCUAUUUUUUGUUUAAAGAACAUAGCAAAGCAGUUAUCCUUACAUGCUCC